GUCUCUAGAGAUCUAAAACAGAAGCACAAAUUAACGAAAAUAUCUCUCGCAGUCAGCUUCUUCUAGCGUUGCAGAACAAAGGGAGCAGGCCGGAGAAGCGUAGAAAAGCAAGUUAAAAAUGGAAGGAAGUGGUAGGAAGAGUUUCACAAAAAUGAUAGCUGUGGUAUUGUUAAUAGUGGGAACAUUAUCAGGACAAAUUUAUGCAUCUCGUGAAACAGAAUAUGAUGCAUGUUUCAACAAAUGCUUUGAUGACUGUACUGAGCCAAACCCUGGUGGUGAUUUCGAUUUUUUUGCAAAAUGUGAUGAAGAUUGUUACGCUUCAUGCACAAAAAAUUCUCCACUGGACAGCCGUUGCAAGACCAUUGCUAAGAUUAGUUAAGGGAGGAGGAGCUUCACGACUAGGAAUAAUACUGCUUGCUAUAUAUCGAAGGGUAAAAUAGUUUUCAUAUUAAAUUUGUGUUCUAGAAUAAUCGAUUUCGUUGUUGAACUGAUAUUAUUGGGUGUUGGGUUUUCUCUGGUUGGAAAUCUGUAAUUAAAUCUUAAAUUUGAUCACGUAAUAUAUGAAGGCAAUCGUCAAAAUUACUUUGUGAAAGUAAAUGCUUUAUUAGGAUAUA